CCACAUCAGGUUCCGUAUACAAGAGACCAAACAAUGCCUCAAGGGCCACAUUGUNGAUGCAAAAGCACCAACAAGGUGGACCACAAAGCCUGCUUCAAGGUUCAUCCCACGCCGCAUGAGCGACGCACGAUGAAAAAGGCCGUCCAUAAACCCACACAUUACCGUCAAUUAGGUAUGCAACACAAGAAACCCACAAGCUGCUCAAGGCAAAAUAGCCUUGUCGCUAAAAUGAAGAGGUAAGCACGCGUGGACGUUGCUGCGCUAGCAGACAGCCAACCACCCGUAACAAACCAAACACCACUCAUGCACCUUUACGGUCAACAUCCCCGAAAGCCGGCCGACUAGUAGCGACCCGCAAAGCACCAAGGCCAAGCNANGCAACC
rnacentral:misc_RNA from 1 species